UGUAAAAUAAGCUAAAUGUUAAGCUAUCGGGUUCAUACCCCGAAAAUGAAUUUAAGAUUCUUUUACAA
rnacentral:tRNA from 1 species